GGGUAACUCAACUGCUUAACUGUUUGUUACUGGACUAUUUUAGUGGUCACAUUUAUACCACUUUUUUAAAUACUAUAUUCCUUUACUUUGUGUUUGUAAAAAGAUGUUUGUAAAAAUAAGAUGUGUUUGAUGAUAUCCCACUUACAACUAUGUUUUUUGCCUUAUCACAAUUGCAAUACUAAGCUGUGGAUUAUCAACACCACUUUAUCAUCUACGAGAACAUCA